rnacentral:misc_RNA from 1 species
GAUGAAGAACGCAGCGAAAUGCGAUAAGUAAUGUGAGUUGCAGAAUUCAGUGAAUCAUCGAAUCUUUGAACGCACAUUGCGCCCCUUGGUAUUCCGAGGGGCAUGCCUGUUCGAGCGUCAUUUCAACCCCUCAAGCUUAGCUUGGUGUUGGGCUGCGCCAGCGUUGCUGGCGGGCCUUAAAAUCAGUGGCGGUGCCGUUUGGGCUCCAAGCGUAGUAGCAUCUCUCGCUCUGGAGACCCGGCGGUUGCUUGCCAGACAAUCACUAAAAAAACAAAGGUUUGACCUCGGAUCAGGUAGGGAUACCCGCUGAACUUAAGCAUAUCAAUAAGCGGAGGA